rnacentral:tRNA from 11 species
UGCCCCAUGGCUGAGUUGGUUACAGCGUCCGACUGUUAAUCGGAAGGUCGAGAGUUCGAGCCUCUCUGGGGCAG